AUUGAACGCUGGCGGCAGGCCUAACACAUGCAAGUCGAACGAGUGGCGGACGGGUGAGUAAUGUCUGGGCAACUGCCUGAUGGCGGGGGAUAACUACUGGAAACGGUAGAUAAUACCGCAUACCCUCGGAUGUGCCCAGAUGGGAUUAGCUAGUUGGUGGGGUAACGGCUCACCUAGGCGACGAUCCCUAGCUGGUCUGAGAGGAUGACCAGCAACACUGGAACUGAGACACGGUCCAGACUCCUACGGGAGGCAGCAGUGGGGAAUAUUGCACAAGGGGCGCAAGCCGGAUGCAGCCAUGCCGCGUGUAGGAAGAAGGCCUUCGGUUUGUAAAGUACUUUCAGCGGGGAGGCGUUACCCGCAGAAGAAGCACCGGCUAACUCCGUGCCAGCAGCCGCGGUAAUUC
rnacentral:rRNA from 1 species